rnacentral:lncRNA from 12 species
UUUUUAGGAAAAGGAGUGCUUGGAAGACAAGGUGUGAUAGAGAUCUAGAGAAAGUAAUACGGGAAAUAUAUUUGCUGUUUCUCAUAAUGGAAGAACUGCCACUUGAUGAAACGACCAACAGCAGACUUAAAACCAGCCAGGAUGUGCUUUACAGGGGAUCAUCCUCAGGUGCAAACACCCUGACUGCAGAUGACCAAACACAGUCGGACCCAGCAGAGCACGCGAGCCUUGCCUCUGAAGAGACCAACCCAGGAGAGCAGCUGCCAGGAGAGGAGGCUUCAGCCACCAUCCUGGACGUGGAGGGGAACACAGAGUCUGUCAAUAAAAGGGAGGAGCCAGAGGGCACCGAGCCCCUGCCUGCAGGAGAGGAGGAGAGCUCUGAGCUGCCCUCUGUGUGGCGAGAGGAGAGCAGGGGGCCUUCACCGCCAGCACCAGGAGAAGAUACUGGGGCACCAUCUCCAGGAGCAGCAGAGGACAGUGGGCUGGCAGAGGGCAGUGACAGCUCUGUAGUGGAAGUCAUCGAGAAAGUACAUAUUACUGAAGAGGACCACCUCACUGAGGGUGAGACGGGAGAACAGGUGGAAACUGAGCUGCUCAGUGAGACAGUAAGUGAAGGGCCUGAAACAAAAGAAGAAGAAACAGGAGAAGCUGUGGAUAGUGCAGCAGCGACAGAGAUAGAUGAUGGGACUGCACUGACACAGCUCAGAGAACAGCUGCAGGCAAGAGGAGGAAACAAUGCUGAGAAUGGAAUAGUGACCAUUUAAACCUGGGAUUCUGUUGUGUAAGGG